GAUGAAGAACGUAGCGAAAUGCGAUAAGUAAUGUGAAUUGCAGAAUUCAGUGAAUCAUCGAAUCUUUGAACGCACAUUGCGCCCAUUAGUAUUCUAGUGGGCAUGCCUGUUCGAGCGUCAUUUCAACCCUUAAGCCCUCGUUGCUUAGUGUUGGGAGCCUACAGUUUAUUCUGUAGCUCCCCAAAAUCAGUGGCGGAGUCGUUUCACACUCUAGGCGUAGUAAAUUUUAUCUCGCUUCUGUAGUUGGAUCGUCCCUUGCCGUAAAACCCCCAAUUUUUAAAGGUUGACUUCGGAUCAGGUAGGAAUACCCGCUGAACUUAAGCAUAUCAAUCAGCGGAGGA
rnacentral:misc_RNA from 1 species